GACGAACGCUGGCGGCGUGCUUAACACAUGCAAGUCGAACGAAGUGGCGAACGGGUGAGUAACGCGUAAUCAACCUGCCCUUCAGAGGGGGAUAACAGUUGGAAACGACUGCUAAUACCGCAUACUGAAGGAGGGGUUUGCGUUGGAUUAGCUAGGUGGCGGGGUAAAGGCCCACCAAGGCGAUGAUCAGUAGCCGGUCGGAGAGGGUGAACGGCAACAUUGGGACUGAGACACGGGCCAGAAUCCUACGGGAGGCAGCAGUGGGGGAACUUCCGAAAUGGACGGAAGGCUGACGGAGCAAAGCCGCGUGAGUGGUGACGGGCUUCGGGUUGUAAAGCUCUGUUAAUCGGGACGCGGUACCGGAAUAGAAAGCCACGGCUAACUACGUGCCAGCAGCCGCGGUAAUUC
rnacentral:rRNA from 1 species